AUGACUCUUCAGCUUCCACAAACUCAAAUCGAGCCUAAUCUCUUCCUUCUCAUCCUUUUCGAACCACAGACGUUAGGCGCCACCGUGCCAUCGUCUCCGGCAGCGGAACAAGGAAACAAUACCACCAAUUCCUCCAUAAUAUCCCCCUCUCUCCAAGUCCCUUACCAAUUUCACAUGAAACCUCUUCAAUCGUGCGGAUCGAAGAAUCGAAGGGAGAAAUCCCUAAGUCCCAGAAAAUGA